rnacentral:rRNA from 1 species
GAAGGAAUACCGGUGGCGAAGGCGGCCCCCUGGACAGAUACUGACACUCAGAUGCGAAAGCGUGGGGAGCAAACAGGAUUAGAUACCCUGGUAGUCCACGCCGUAAACGAUGUCUACUUGGAGGUUGUGGCCUUGAGCCGUGGCUUUCGGAGCUAACGCGUUAAGUAGACCGCCUGGGGAGUACGGUCGCAAGAUUAAAACUCAAAUGAAUUGACGGGCCUUCCCGCACAAGCGGUGGAGCAUGUGGUUUAAUUCGAUGCAACGCGAAGAACCUUACCUACUCUUGACAUCCAGAGAACUUUCCAGAGAUGGAUUGGUGCCUUCGGGAACUCUGAGACAGGUGCUGCAUGGCUGUCGUCAGCUCGUGUUGUGAAAUGUUGG